GACGAACGCUGGCGGCGCGCUUAACACAUGCCAGUCGAACGGAAAGGCCUGCUUUCCCUUGUGGAUUGCGGGUACUCGAGUGGCGAACGGGUGAGUAACACGUGAGUGAUCUGCCCCCAACUUGGGUAUAAGCCUGGGAAACUGGGUCUAAUUCCCGAUAGGACUGCAGGGUGGUGCCUGUGGUGGAAAACGAUUUUCUAGUGGUUGGGGAUGAGCUCGCGGCCUAUCAGCUUGUUGGUGGGGUAAUGGCCUACCAAGGCGGCGACGGGUAGCCGGCCUGAGAGGGUGGACGGGCACAUUGGGACUGAGAUACGGCCCAGACUCCGACGGGAGGCAGCAGUGGGGAAUAUUGCACAAUGGGCGGAAGCCUGAUGCAGCGACGCCGCGUGGGGGAUGACGGCCUUCGGGUUGUAAACUCCUUUCGACCGCGAGGAAGCCACCUGGUUGGAAGGGUGGUGACGGUAGUGGUAGAAGAAGCACCGGCUAACUACG
rnacentral:rRNA from 1 species